rnacentral:rRNA from 1 species
GACGAACGCCUGUGGCGUGCCUAAUACAUGCAAGUAGAACGCUGAAGAGAGGAGCUUGCUCUUCUUGGAUGAGUUGCGAACGGGUGAGUAACGCGUAGGUAACCUGCCUUGUAGCGGGGGAUAACUAUUGGAAACGAUAGCUAAUACCGCAUAACAAUGGAUGACACAUGUCAUUUAUUUGAAAGGGGCAAAUGCUCCACUACAAGAUGGACCUGCGUUGUAUUAGCUAGUAGGUGAGGUAACGGCUCACCUAGGCGACGAUACAUAGCCGACCUGAGAGGGUGAUCGGCCACACUGGGACUGAGACACGGCCCAGACUCCUACGGGAGGCAGCAGUAGGGAAUCUUCGGCAAUGGGGGCAACCCUGACCGAGCAACGCCGCGUGAGUGAAGAAGGUUUUCGGAUCGUAAAGCUCUGUUGUAAGUCAAGAACGAGUGUGAGAGUGGAAAGUUCACACUGUGACGGUAGCUUACCAGAAAGGGACGGCUAACUACGUGCCAGCAGCCGCGGUAAUACGUAGGUCCCGAGCGUUGUCCGGAUUUAUUGGGCGUAAAGCGAGCGCAGGCGGUUUGAUAAGUCUGAAGUUAAAGGCUGUGGCUCAACCAUAGUUCGCUUUGGAAACUGUCAAACUUGAGUGCAGAAGGGGAGAGUGGAAUUCCAUGUGUAGCGGUGAAAUGCGUAGAUAUAUGGAGGAACACCGGUGGCGAAAGCGGCUCUCUGGUCUGUAACUGACGCUGAGGCUCGAAAGCGUGGGGAGCGAACAGGAUUAGAUACCCUGGUAGUCCACGCCGUAAACGAUGAGUGCUAGGUGUUGGAUCCUUUCCGGGAUUCAGUGCCGCAGCUAACGCAUUAAGCACUCCGCCUGGGGAGUACGACCGCAAGGUUGAAACUCAAAGGAAUUGACGGGGGCCCGCACAAGCGGUGGAGCAUGUGGUUUAAUUCGAAGCAACGCGAAGAACCUUACCAGGUCUUGACAUCCCGAUGCUAUUUCUAGAGAUAGAAAGUUACUUCGGUACAUCGGUGACAGGUGGUGCAUGGUUGUCGUCAGCUCGUGUCGUGAGAUGUUGGGUUAAGUCCCGCAACGAGCGCAACCCCUAUUGUUAGUUGCCAUCAUUCAGUUGGGCACUCUAGCGAGACUGCCGGUAAUAAACCGGAGGAAGGUGGGGAUGACGUCAAAUCAUCAUGCCCCUUAUGACCUGGGCUACACACGUGCUACAAUGGUUGGUACAACGAGUUGCGAGUCGGUGACGGCAAGCUAAUCUCUUAAAGCCAAUCUCAGUUCGGAUUGUAGGCUGCAACUCGCCUACAUGAAGUCGGAAUCGCUAGUAAUCGCGGAUCAGCACGCCGCGGUGAAUACGUUCCCGGACCU